rnacentral:rRNA from 1 species
UACGUAGGGUCCGAGCGUUGUCCGGAAUUAUUGGGCGUAAAGGGCUCGUAGGCGGUCUGUUGCGUCGGGAGUGAAAACUUACAGCUUAACUGUGAGCGUGCUUCCGAUACGGGCAGACUUGAGGUAUUCAGGGGGAGAACGGAAUUCCUGGUGUAGCGGUGAAAUGACGCAGAUAUCAGGAGGAACACCGGUGGCGAAGGCGGUUCUCUGGGAAUAUCCUGACGCUGAGGAGCGAAAGUGUGGGGAGCGAAACAGG